GAUGAAGUACGUAGUGAAAUGCGAUAAGUAAUGUGAAUUGCAGAAUUCAGUGAAUCAUCGAAUCUUUGAACGCACAUUGCGCCCGCCAGUAUUCUGGCGGGCAUGCCUGUUCGAGCGUCAUUUCAACCAUCAAGCCCCAGGCUUGUGUUGGGGGCCUGCAGCUGCUGCAGCCCCCUAAAAGCAGUGGCGGACUCGCUGUCAUACCGAGCGCAGUAGUUACAUCUCGCUCUGGGCAUGGCGGCGGGCACCUGCCGUAAAACACUCUUUCUAAGGUUGACCUCGGAUCAGGUAGGAAUACCCGCUGAACUUAAGCAUAUCAAUAAGCGGAGGA
rnacentral:misc_RNA from 1 species